rnacentral:rRNA from 1 species
UACGUAGGCAGCAAGCGUUGUUCGGAGUUACUGGGCGUAAAGGGCGCGUAGGCGGUUCGAUAAGUCCCGUGUGAAAUCCCUCGGCUCAACUGAGGAAUGGCCACGGGAAACUGACGGGCUUGAGUUCGGGAGAGGGAAGCGGAAUUCCGGGUGUAGCGGUGAAAUGCGUAGAUAUCCGGAGGAACACCGGUGGCGAAGGCGGCUUCCUGGACCGACACUGACGCUGAGGCGCGAAAGCUAGGGGGAGCAAACGGG